AGAACCAUCACAAACUACAGAAUUGGUAUGUUUCACAAUAAUGCUACAUCUAUGAAGUACUAAAAUAUAAACUCUCAAAUUAUGGCAUGCAGAAGUGUCAUGUGGACUCAACAUGUAUAUCUCCAACCAAAAAGUAAUUAAAAAAAAAAUACUUUAAAAAACUAAUAAAAUAAAAGAACCCAAAUUAGAGAAUGGGUAUGCAACAGAGGAAGCGUUGCUGUUACCCAUGAGAGCCCAUCGACAAUCAUAUCUUGGUUGUUAUUAUUUUCUUUCCUCACAUUAAAUACACAAUUGAUUGUAUUCGUUUAUGAGAAGAUGCUUGUUGUGUUGUGGUCAAGAAUAUUUUUCUCAUCUCUUUCUUCAUCUUCAUAAACUUUUGGCUUUGCAUGAUGCUUUGAUUUUCAAAUUUUUGCCCAUGACAACAAUAUAGGAUAAUUAAUAGCAGGUAAAUGACAAAGUUAUAUCCAGUGUGCUUACUCUGUGUGCGUGUUUUUUUUUUUUUUUUUUUU
rnacentral:misc_RNA from 1 species